ACGCGCGGCCUAGUGGUUAGCGCUGUUGCUUUUGAAUCUGAGGUCCGGGGUUCGACUCCCGGUGGGGGUA